rnacentral:rRNA from 1 species
GUCUUAUUGAAUUUAAAAUAAUAAGUUUGUUCUGCCCAUUGAAUUAAAUAUUUUAAAAGGCUGCAGUAAUUUAACUGUACAAAGGUAGCAUAAUCAAUAGUUUUUUAAUUGAAAACUUGAAUGAAAGAAUUGAUAAAAUAUUAGUUGUCUCAAAUUUAAAUAAUUGAAUUUAUAUUUAAAGUUAAAAUUCUUUAAUUAAUUUAUUAGACGAUAAGACCCUAAGAAUUUUAUAAUUUAUUUAUUAUUUAUUAAAUUAGUUUAAUUUAAAAUUUAUAAUUUAAUUAUUUUAUUGGGAGGGUAAUUAAAAAUUUAAACUUUAAUUAAAUUUAAACUUUGAUAAAUGAGUUUAAUGAUUAUUAUUAUAGUUAUUAGAAUAAAUUACCUUAGGGAUAACAGCGUAAUAAUUUUGGAAAGUUCAUAUUGAUAAAAUUGGUUGCGACCUCGAUGUUGAAUUAAAAUAAAAAUUAAAUGGAGAAGUUUAAGGUUUUAGUCUGUUCGACUAUUAAAAUUUUACAU